rnacentral:rRNA from 1 species
AGCAAUCUAUACGGUGAAACUGCGAAUGGCUCAUUAAAUCAGUUAUCGUUUAUUUGAUAGUACCUUACUACUUGGAUAACCGUGGUAAUUCUAGAGCUAAUACAUGCUAAAAACCCCAACUUCGGGAGGGGUGUAUUUAUUAGAUAAAAAACCAAUGCCCUUCGGGGCUCCUUGGUGAUUCAUGAUAACUUAACGAAUCGCAUGGCCUUGCGCCGGCGAUGGUUCAUUCAAAUUUCUGCCCUAUCAACUUUCGAUGGUAGGAUAGUGGCCUACCAUGGUUUCAACGGGUAACGGGGAAUUAGGGUUCUAUUCCGGAGAGGGAGCCUGAGAAACGGCUACCACAUCCAAGGAAGGCAGCAGGCGCGCAAAUUACCCAAUCCCGACACGGGGAGGUAGUGACAAUAAAUACUGAUACAGGGCCCUUUCGGGUCUUGUAAUUGGAAUGAGUACAAUUUAAAUCCCUUAACGAGGAACAAUUGGAGGGCAAGUCUGGUGCCAGCAGCCGCGGUAAUUCCAGCUCCAAUAGCGUAUAUUAAAGUUGUUGCAGUUAAAAAGCUCGUAGUUGAACCUUGGGCUUGGCUGUCCGGUCCGCCUCACCGCGUGCACUGGUGCGGCCGAGCCUUUCCUUCUGGGAAGCCGCAUGCCCUUCACUGGGUGUGUCGGGGAACCAGGACUUUUACUUUGAAAAAAUUAGAGUGUUCAAAGCAGGCCUAUGCUCGAAUACAUUAGCAUGGAAUAAUAGAAUAGGACGUGUGGUUCUAUUUUGUUGGUUUCUAGGACCGCCGUAAUGAUUAAUAGGGAUAGUCGGGGGCAUCAGUAUUCAAUUGUCAGAGGUGAAAUUCUUGGAUUUAUUGAAGACUAACUACUGCGAAAGCAUUUGCCAAGGAUGUUUUCAUUAAUCAGUGAACGAAAGUUAGGGGAUCGAAGACGAUCAGAUACCGUCGUAGUCUUAACCAUAAACUAUGCCGACUAGGGAUCGGGCGAUGUUAUCAUUUUGACUCGCUCGGCACCUUACGAGAAAUCAAAGUCU